GAAGAUUUCACCAGUGGGUAUGCAUGCUU
rnacentral:piRNA from 1 species